CCCAUCCCCAUCUGAUAAAUCCUUACAUAAAUGUGCAAGACAAUUAGAACCGCUAGGGAAUUUUUCAACUUGCUUACUACGAAUAGUAUUAAAAGAUGCAGCCAAACGAUCAAUCUCAGUGUCUUUAAUCAGAUGAAUAGAACUAGCAACUUCAGUACUAUUCCUACCCAAAGAGACACCAAUAUUCUCCAUAUUAGAAAUAAAUUCAUCAUCCGAAAUAGAAAGAAUAGAAUUAUC
rnacentral:lncRNA from 1 species